UGUUAAACAACACCGCAAAAUACACAAAAAAUAAUAAAUCUUGGUCGAUGGAACUUGGUGUAGGUUGACACGGACAUGUGUAUUUUAAGACCAAAGUUGAUGAUGUGCUUUUAAUUUAGGACAGUCACCAUAGGCUACAGUAUAUAAACAUAGCAUUUUAACAGUAUCUGUAUCAAACAAACAAAAUGAAGGGCUUCAUACUGAUGUCAGUCGUUUGUUUAUUAUUUAUGACAAUAAGCACUAACAAUGUGGCAGAAGGUCGUCCACCGCCAUGCUGUGCUUGCGUCCGAGCACCGUGUAAUUGUCCACCAUGCAGUCCCUGGCCAACAUACAGACCACCUCGACGAUAUCCUAAAUGGAAAGGAUAGACUCUUAUUUGAACAAAUCUUUACAUGAUUUAAUUGUUUGAGUUGACAAUAGAAUUAGAAGGCAUUACAUCAUUGUACGAAAGUAAUCAAAAUAAAAUUGUGUUAUUUUAA